rnacentral:lncRNA from 1 species
UUGGGGCAUAGGGUUUAGGUUUUAGGGUUUUAGGGUAUAGGGUUUAGGGUAUAGGGUUUAGGGUUUAGGGUAUAGGGUUUAGGGUAUAGGGUUUAGGGUAUAGGGUUUAGGGUAUAGGGUUUAGGGUUUAGGGUUUAGGGUAUAGGGUUUAGGGUUUAGGGUUUAGGGUUUAGGGUAUAGGGUUUAGGGUUUAGGGUAUAGGGUAUAGGGUAUAGGGUAUAGGGUUUAGGGUUUAGGGUAUAGGGUAUAGGGUUUAGGGUUUAGGGUUUAGCGUUCUAGGGUUUUAGGGUUUAGGCGUUUAGGGUUUAGGUUUAGGUUUUAGGGUUUAUGGUUAGGUUUAGGGCUUUAGGUUUGAGGGUUUAGGUUUAGGGUUUAGGGUUUAGGUUUUAGGGUUUUAGGGUUUAGGUUUAGGUUUAGGGUUAGGUUUAGGUUUUAGGUUUUAGUUUAGGGUUUUAGGGUUUUAGGUUAGGGUUUAGGUUUAGUCCGUUUAGGUUUAGGUUUUUAGGUUUAGGGUUUUAGGGUUUAGGGUUUAGGUUAGGUUAGGUUAGGGUUUAGGUGUAGGGUUUAGGGUUAGGGUUAGGUUUAGGGGUUUAGGGUUAGGGUUUAGGGUUUAGGGGUUUAGGGUUUAGGGUUUAGGUUGGUAGGGUUGUUAGGUUUAGGGUUAGGGUUUAGGGUUGGGUUAGUUAGGGUUUAGGGUUUAGGGUUUAGGGUUUUAGUUUAAGGGUUUAGGGUUUAGUUUUAGGGGUUAGGUUUAGGUUUAGGGUUAGGGUUUAGGUUUAGUAGGGUUUUAGUUUAGGGUUUAGGUUAGGGUUUAGGUUAGGGUUUAGGGUUUAGGGUUUAGCGGUUUAGGGUUUAGGUUUUAGGGUUAGGUUAUUUUAGUGGGUUUAUGGUUUAGGUUUAGGGUUAGGUUAGGUUUAGGUUUAGUUUAGGUUAGGGUUAGGGUUUAGGGUUUAGGGUGUUAGGUUUAGGUUUAGGGUUUAGGGUUUAGGGUUUAGGUUUAGGUUUAGUAGGGUUUAGGGUUAGUUUAGGGUUUAGUUUAGGGCUUUAGGUUUAGGUUUUAGGGUUUAGGUUAUUUUAGGUUUAUUUAGUUUAGGUUUAGGGUUUAGUUUAGGUUUAGGUUUUAGGUUUAGGGUUAUGGUUAGUUAGUUUAGUGUUUAGUUUUAGUUUAGGGUUUAGGUUUAGGUUUAGGUUUAGUUUAGUUAGGGUUGUUAGGGUUUAGGUUUAGGGUUUUAGGGUUUAGGGUUUAGUUUAGUAGGGUUUAGUUAUUUAGGGUUUAGGGUUUAGGUUUAGCGGUUUAGGGUUUAAGGUUUCUAGGGUUUAGGUUUAGGGUUUCAGGUUAGCGGUUAGGUAGGGUUUAGGGUUUAGGGUUUAAGGGUUUACGGUUUAGGGUUUAGGGUUUAGGGGUUUAGGGUUUCUAGGGGUUUAGGGUUAGGUUUAGGGGUUUAGGGUUUAGGUUUUGUAGUUUAGGGUUUUAGGUUUAGGGUUUAGUGUUUAGGAGUUUAGGUUUUUAGGGUUAGGGUUUAGGGUUUAGGGUUUAGGGUUUAGGGUUUGAGUUGUAGUUUUUAGGGUUUAGGGUUUUAGGGUUUAGGGCUUUUAGGCGUUUUAGGUUCUAGGUUUAGGGUUAGGGUUUUAAGGUUCUAGGGUUUAGCGGUUUGGGUUUAGGGUUUUAGGGUUUAGGGUUAGGGUUUUAGGUUUUUAGGUUUAGGGUUUAGUGUUUAGGGUUUAGGUUUAGGCGUUUUAGGGUUUAGGUUUAGGGGUUUCAGGGUUUUAGGGUUUAGGUUUAGGUUUUUAGGGUUUAGGGUUUAGGGGUUUUAGGUUUUUUAGGGUUUAGGGGUUUAGGUUUUAUGGUUUAGCGGUUUAGGGUUUAGGGUUUAGGGUUUAGGGUUUAGGUUAGGGUUUUAGGGUUAGGGUUUAGGGUUAGGGUUUAGGGUUUAGGGUUUAGGGUUCUAGAGGUUUAGGGUUUAGGGUUUAGGGUUUUAAGGUUUAGGGUUUAGGGUUAGAGUUUAGGGUUUAGGGUUUAGGGUUUAGGGUUUAGGGUUUAGGGUUUUAGGUUUAGGGUUUAGGUUUAGGUUUAGGUUUAGGGGUUUAGGGUUUAGGUUUAGUUAGGGUUUAUAUGGGUUUAGGGUUUAGGGUUUAGCGGUUUUAGGGUUUAGGGUUUAGCGGUUUUUAGGGUUUUAGGGUUUUAGGGUUUACGGGUUUAGGGUUUAGGGUAGGGUUUAGUGUUUAGGGUUAGGGUUUAGGGUUUAGUUUUUUAGGGUUUAGGGUUCUAGGGAUUUAGGUUAGGGUUUUAGGUUUAGGUUUAGGGUUUAGGGUUUACGGGUUUAGGGUUUAGGGUUUAGGGCUUUAGGGUUAGGGUUUAGGUUUAGGGUUAGGGUUUAGUUUAGGGUUUAGUUUAGGUAUAGGGUUUAGGUUUAGAGGUUUAGGGUGGUUAGGGUUUAGGGUUAGGUUUAGGUUUAGGGUUUAGGGUUUAGGGUUUAGGGUAUUUUUUUUAGGGUUUAUGUGGUUUAGCGUUAGGGUAUAGGGUUUAGUUUUAGGGUUUAGGGUUUUAGGUUUAGGGUUUAGCGGCUUUAGGUUUAGGGUUAGGUUUAGGUUUAGGGUUCUAGGUUUAGGUUUGGGUUUUAGGUUAGUUUAGGUUUAGGUUUAGGUUUAGGCGUUUAGGGUUUAGUUAAGGUUUAGGGUUUAGGGUUAGGGUUAGUUUUAGGUUUAGGGUUUACCUCCGCUCAUGUUUAGGGUUUAGUGGUUUUAGGUUUAUUAGGGUUUAGGGGUUUUAGGGUUUAGGGUUUAGGGUUAGGUUUAGGGUUUAUGGUUUGGGUUUUAGGGGUUUAGGGGUUUUAGGGUUUUAGGGUUUAGGGUUUUAGGGUUUUUUAGGGUUUAGGGUUUUAGUGUUAGGGUUUAGGGUUUAGGUGUAGGGUUUAGGUUUUAGGUUUAGGUUUAGGGUUUAGGGUUUUAGUAGGUUUUAGGGUUUAGGGUUUUAGGGUUUAGGUUUAGGUUAGGGUUUUAGGGUUUGAGGUUUAGGUGUUACGGGUUUAGGUUUAGGUUUAGGUUUAGGGUUUAGGGUUUAGGUUUAGGGUUUUUAGGUUUAGGGUUUAGGUUUAGGGUUAGGGUUUUAGGGUUUAGGGUUUAGGGUUUAGGGAUUUAGGGUUUAGGGUUAGGGUUUAGGGUUUAGGGUUUUAGGUUUAGGGUUAGCGGUUUAGGUUUUAGUCGUUCUAGGGUUUAGGGUUAGGGUUUAGGGUUUAGGUUUAGGGUUUUUAGGGUUUAGGUUUAGGGUUUAGGUUUAGGGUUUAGGUUUAGGUUUAGUUUAGGGUUUAGGGGUUUUAGGGUGUUAGGUUUAGGGUUAGGUUUAGGUUAGGUUUUAGGUUUAUGUUUAGGUUAGGGUUUUAGCGUUUAGGGUUUAGGGUUUAGGCGUUUAGGUUUAGGGUUUUAGGGUUUUAAGGGUUUAGGGUUUUAGGGUGUUAGGGUUAGGGUUUAGGGGUUUUAGGGUUAGGGUUUAGGGUUUAGGUAGGUUUAGGGUUUAGGGUUUAGGUUUUAGGGUUUAGGGUUUUAGCGGGUUUAGGGUUUAGGGUUAGGGUGUAGGGUUUAGGGUUUAGGGUUGUAGGGUUUAGGUUUAAGGUUUUAGGGUUUAGUUUAGUUUAGGGUUUAGGGUUAGGUUUAGGUUUUAGGUUUAGGUUUAGGUUUAGGGUUUAGGUUUAGGGUUUAGGGUUUAGGGUUUAGGGUUUAGGGUUUAGGGUUUUAGGGUUUAGGUUUAGGUUUAGGGUUUAGGGUUUAGGGUUUUAGGUUUAGGGUUUUAGGUUUAGGUUUUAGGGUUUAGGGUUUAGGGUUAGGGUUUAAGGGUUUAGGGUUCUAGGGUUUAGGGUUUAGCGUUUUAGGGUUUAGCGUUUAGGGGUUUAGGGUUUUAGGUUUAGGGUUUAGGGUUUUAGGGUUUAGGGUUAGGUUUUAGGGUUCUUAGGUUUAGGGUUUAGGUUUUAAGGGUUUAGGGUUUUUAGGGUUUAGGGUUUAGGGGUUUUAGCGGGUUUAGGGUUUAGGGUUUAGCGGUUUUAGUUUAGGGUUUCAGGGUUUAGGUUUAGGUUAGGGUUAGGGUUUAGAGGGUUUAAGGGUUAGGUUUAGGGUUUAGGUUUAGGUUUUAGGGGUUUAGGGUUUAGGGUUUUAGGGUUUAGGGUUUAGGGUUUUAGGGUUUAGGGUUUAGGUUUAGGGUUUAGGGUUUAGGGUUAGGGUUUGAGUUAGGUUUAGUUUUGGGUUUUAGGGUUUAGGUUUAGGUUUAGGUUUAGGGUUAGGGUUUAGGUUUAGGGGUUUUAGGUUUAGGUUUAGGGUUUAGGUUUAGGGUUUUAGGGUUUAGCGGUUUCAGGGUUUAGGGUUUUAGGGUUUAGCGGUUAAGGGUUUAGGUUUAGGGUUUAGGUUUAGGGUUUAGGGUUUAGGGUUACGGGGUUUAGCGGUUUAGGGGUUUAGGUUAGGUAGGGUUUAGGGUUUAGGGUUUAGGUUAGUUUAGGUUUAGUGUUUAGGUUUAGGGUUAGGGUUUAGGGUUAGGCGUUUUAGGGUUUAGGGUUUAGGGUUUAGGUUUCUUAGGGGUGUAGGGUUUAGGGUUAGGGUUUUAGGGUUUAGGGUUUUAGGUUUAGGUUAGGGUUCUAGGUUAGGUUUAGGGUUUAGGUUUUAGUUUAGGGUUUAGGGGUUUAGGGUUUAGGGUUUUAGGGUUUUAGGGUUUAGGGUUUAGGUUUUAGGUUUAGGGUUUAGGGUUUCGGGUUUAGGGUUUAGGUUUAGGGUUUUAGGGUUUAGGGUUAGCCGGUUAGGUUUAGGGUUUAGGGUUUAGGGGUCUAGGUUUUAGGGUUUAGGGUUUAGGGUUUAGCGGUUUAGGUUAGGGUUUAGGGUUUAGGGUUUAGGGUUUAGGUUUAGGGUUUAGGGUUUAGGGUUUAGGUUAGGGUUUAGGUUUAGCGGUUUAGGGGUUUUUUAGGGUUUAGGGUUUUUAGUGGUUUAGAGGUUUUUAGCGGUUUUAGGGUUUUAGGGUUUAGCGGUUUAGGGUUUAGGGUUUAGGGUUUAGGGUUUAGUGUUUAGGUUUAAGGGUUUAGGUUAGGGUUAGGUUAGGGUUUAGGUUUAUGGGUUUAGGUUAUAGGGUUUAGUAGGUUUAGGGUUUAGGUUAGGGAUUUAGGGUUUAGGUUUAGUUUUAGGGUUUAGAGUUUAGAGUUUAGGGUUUAGGGUUUAGGGUUAGUUAGGGUUUAGGGUUUAGGGUUUAGGGUUUAGGGUUUAGUUUGGUUAUAGGGGUUAGGAGUUUAGGUUUUAGGGUUUAGAGGUUUAGGGUUAGUGGAUUUUAGGGGUUUAGGUUUAGUGUUUAGGGGUUUAGGGGUUUAGAGUUAGGGUUUAGGGUUUAGGUUUAGGGUUUAGGUUAUAGGUUUAGUGUUAGGGUUUAGUUUAGGGUUUAGGGUUUAGAGAGUUUAGGUUUAGGUUUAGGGUUUAGGGUUUAGGGUUUAGGUUUUAGGGUUAGGGGUUUAGAGGUUUUAGCGUUUAGGGUUUAGCGGGUUUAGGGUUUAGGGUUUAGGAGUUUUAGAGGUUAUGGUUUAUAAGGGUUUUAGGUUUAGAGGUUUAGGGUUGUAAGUUUAGGGUUUAGUGUUUAAGGGUUUAGCGGAAUUAGAGUUAGGGUUUAGAAAUUUAGUUUUAGGUUAGGGUUUAGAGGUUUUAAUGGGGUUUAAGGUUAGGUGUUUAGUGGUUGGGUUUAGAGGUUUAGUGGUUUAGGUAUAGGGUUUCAGUGGCACGGGUUUAUGGUUUCCAGGGUUUUAGGGAUUAGGUUUAGGGCUUUAGGUGGUUUGUUGUGUAGUCUGCCAGGCGCGCGUAUUCAUUUUCUAGAGAUUUAGGGUUUAGGGUUUAGGUUUAGGGUUUAGGUUUAGGGUUUAAGGAUUAGGUUUAGGGUUUAAGGGUUUAGGUUUUGGUUAGGGUUUAGGGUUUUAGAGGUUUAGUGGUUGAGGGUUUCAGGGUUUAGUGGUUUAGGGUUAUAGAGGUUUAGUAUUAGGGUUUAGGUGUUAGUUUAGGUUUUAGGUUUAGGGUUGUAUGAGGUUAGGGUUUAGGACGUUAAGGGCUUUAGGGUUUAGGGGUUUUAGAGGUUUAGGGUUUAGCCGGUUUAGGGUUUAGGGUUUUGACGCGUUUAGCGGGUUUCAGGUUUAGGGUUUACGCGGUUUAGAGGUUAUAGGUUCUAGGGUUUAGGUUUAGGGUUUAGCGGUUUAGGGUUUAGGGCUUAGGAGGUUUAGGAGGUUUAGGGUUAGUCAGGUUUAGGGUUUUUAGGGUUUAGAGUUAGGGUUUAGGGUUAGUGGUUUAGGGUUUAGGUUUUAGGCUUAUAGGGUUUAGGUUUGCAGAGGUUUAGGGUUAGGGGUUUAUUCAACCGUGGUUUAGGGUUUAGGGUAUUAGGGGUCUUAGUGUUUAAUGCGGUUUACGGGUUUUAGAGUUAUAGGGUUUUAGGGUUUAGGGUUUUAGGGUUAGGAUUAGGUUAGGGUUUAGUGGUUUUAGGUUAGGGUUUAGGUUUAGUGGUUAGGUUUAGGGAUAUUGGUUUUAGGUCUAGGAGGUUCUUAGGUUUUAGGGUUUAGGGUUAAGGGUUUUAGGUAUUUUUAGGUUUUUAGGUAUUUAGGGUUUUAGGGUUUUGUUUUUAGAGCUUUAGGGUUUUAGGGUUUAGGGUUUAAGGGGUUUUAGGUAGGUUAGGGUUUAGGUGUUAGGGUUUAGGGUUUAGGUUUUAGGUUAUAGGUAUUAGGGUUUAGGGUUUAGGGUUUAGGGUUUGAGGGGAUUUAGCGGUUUAGGAUUUUUAGGGUUAUAGGGUAUUAGGGUUUAGGGUUUAAGGUUUAGGGUUUAGACUUGGGUUUUUAGGUUUAGGGUAGGGUUUUAGGGUUUUAGGGUUGUUUAAGGUUUUGAGUUUUAGGGUUUUAGGUUUUAGGUUUUAAGUUUUAGGGUUUUAGGGUUUUAGGUUUAGGGUUUUAGGGGUUUAGGGUUUAGGGUUUAGGUUUAAGGGUUUAGGGUUUAGGGUUUAGAGGUUUUAUGGGUUUAGGGUUUAUUGGUUAGGGUUUAGGGUUUAGGGAUUUUAGGGUAGUUGGUUAUAGGUUUAGGUUUUAGUGGUUUAGGUGGUAGUUUUAGGGAUUUAGGUAUUAGGGCUUAGGUUUAGUUUAGCGGGUUUAGGGUUUAGGUUUAGGGUUUAGGGUUUAGGAUGUUAGGGUUUAGGCUUUAGAGUUUUAGGUUUAGGGUUUAGUGGAUUUAGGGUUUAAGUGGUUUAGAGGUUUAGGGUUUAGGGGUUUAGGUUUAGGGUAUUAGGGGUUUAGGGUUCUAGGGUUUAGGUGUUUAGAGGGUUUUACGGGUUUAGCGGUUUAGGGUUAAUAGGGUUUUAGGGUUUAGGGUUUAGGUUUAGGGUUUAGGGUGUUAGUUUAGGGUUUAGGGUUAGGUUUAGGUUUAGUGGUUUAGGGUUUAGGGUUUAGGGGGGUUUUUAGGGAUUUAGUGUUUUAAGGGUUUUAGGUGUUUAGGGUUUAGGUGUUUAGGUUUUAGGGUUUAGGUUUAGAGGUUUAGGGUCUUAGGGUUUAGGGUUUAGGGUUUUAGGGUUAGGGUAUUUAGGUUUUAGGGUUUAGGGUUAGGGUUUAGGGUUUACGGUUUAGGGUUUUAGGGUUUAGGUUUUAGGGUUUAGGGUUUAGUGGUCUUAGUUUAGGUUAGGGUUUCGGGUUUAGGGUUUAGGUUUUUAGGGGUUUAGGUUUAGCGUUUAGUUUAGGGUUUAGGGUUUAGUGUUAGGGUUUAGGGUUAUAGGUUUAGGUUUAGGUUUAGGGUUUAGGGUUUAGGUUUAGAGGUUUAGGGUUUAGGUUUAUGUAGGGUUUAGGGUUUAGGGUAUAGGUUUAGUUUUCAGGUUUUUAGGGUUUAGGGUUAGUAGUUUAGGGUUUAGGGUUUAGGGUUAGGUUUCAGGUUUAGGUUUUAGGGUUUUAGGGUUAGUGAGGUUUAGAGGUUUAGUGGUUAGGGUUUAGGUUUAGGGUUUAGGGCUUUAGGUUUUAGUUCGGAAUAUUAGGGUUUAGGGUUUAGGGUGUUAGAAGGUAUUAGGGUUUAGGGUUUUGAGGCGGUUUAGGGUGUAGUUUAGCGGUUUAGGGUCUUUAGGGUUUUAGGGUCUUUAGGUUUUAGGGUUUUAGGGUUUAGAGGUUUAGGGUUAGCUGUUUAUAGGUUUAGGGGUUUAGCGGUUUAGGGUUUAGGGGUUUAGGAGUUUAGGGUAGAAUUUAAGGGGUUAUUAGGGGUUUGGGUUUAGGGUUUAUGUGGCUUUAGGGUUUUAGCGGUUUAAGAAGAGUUUUAGGGUUUAGGGUUUAGGUUUUAUGGGUUUAGGGGUUUAGCGGUUUAGAGUUUAGGGUUUGAUGUUUAGGGGUUUAGUUUAGGGUUUAGUUAGGUUUUAGCGUUUAUGGUCUUAGGGUUUUUAGUGGUAUAUAGGUUUGGUUUAGGUUUUAGUUUAUUGGUUUAAGGGUUUAGGGUUUAGGGUAUUAGGGUUUCAGGAGGUGUUAUUUUUUUUAGGGUUUAGUUUAGAGGUUUAGGGUUUUAGGUUUUAGUGGGUUUAGGUUAGCGGUUUAGGGUUUUAGGGUUUAGGAUUUAGGUUUAGUUAGGUAGUGGUUUAGGGUUUAGGGUUUAGUGUUUAUGGGUUUAUGGAUUUAACGAGUUUAGCCCUGGUUUAGGGUUUAGGUUUAGGGUUCUAGGGUUUAGGUUUAGGGUUUUUUAGGGUUUUUAGGGUUUAGGGUUUUAGGUUCUAGGUUAGGGUUAGGGUUUAAGGGGUUUUAGGGUUUAAGGAGAUUAGGGUUUUAGAGUUUUAGGGUUUAGUGUUAGGGUUUUAGCGCGUUUAGGGUUUAGGGUUUAGGGUUAGGGUUAGCCGGGUUUAGGGUUUAGGUUUUAGUCGAGUUUAGGGUCUAGAAGAGGUUUGAGGGGUUUAGGGUUUAGCGUUUAGGGUUUUAGGGUUUAGUAGUAUAUAGGGUUUAGGGGUUUAGGGUUUAGGGUUUAGGGUUUAGAGGGUUUAGGUUUAGGGUUUAGGGGUUUAUAGUAUCAGAGUUUAGUGAAUUUAGGGGUUUAGGGGUUUAGAGGGUAUUAGGGUUUAGGGUUUAGAGGUUUAGGGUUACGGGUUAUAGAAGGUUUUAGGUUAUAGGUAUUUGUAGAUUAUAGGGUUUAGGGUUUAGGGUAUUAGUUUAGGGUUAGGUUAUAGUAGUUUAGGGUUUAGGGGUUUUAGGGGUUUAGUGGUUAGAGGUUUAGGGUUUUAGAGGGUUAUAGGGUUAGUGUUUAGGGUUUAGGUUUAGCGGGUUCUAUGGGUUUAGGGUUUAGACGGUUAGGGUUUAGCGUUGAGGUUUAGGGUUAGGGUUUUAGGGUUUUAGUAGGUUUAGGGUUUAGGUUUACGGUUUAGGUUUAGGGUUUUAGGGGAUAGGGUUUAGGGUUUAGGUUUAGGGUUUAGGUUUAGGGUAGGUUUAAGGUUUAGGAUUUAGGGUUGGAUUUUAGGGUUUUAGGUUUAGGGGUUCUAAGGUUUUAGGGGUUUAGAGGUUUAGGGUUUAGCGUUAGACUGGGUUUUAGGGGUUUAGGGUUUAGGUUUAAGGGUUAGGUUUAGGGUUUAGGUUUAGGGUUUAGGGUUUAAGGUUUUAGGGUAGUGUUUUACGGUAGGGUUUAGAGGUUUUAGGGUUAGGGUUUAGGAGUUUAGGGUUUUAGAGUUUAGGUUAGGGUUUAGGGUUUAAGGGUUAGAGGUUUAGGGUUUAGGGUUUAGGGUUUAGGGUUUAGGGUUUAGGUCUCGUAGUGAAUUUAGGUGUUAGGUUUAGGGUUUAGGUUUUAGGGGUUUAGAGGGUUCUUAGAAGGUUAGUUUAGGUUAGGGUUAUAUGCAGAGAUUAGGGUUUGUUAGCGUUUAAGUUUAGGUUUAGAGGUUUAGGGUUUAGGUUUAGGGUUAUAGGGUUUUAGGGUUUAGGGCUAUAGCGGUUUAGGGUUAGGGGUUUUAGGGUUUAGGAAUUUAGGAUUUAGGUUUAGGUUUAGGUGUUUAGGGUUUAGGGUUUAGUUAGGGAUUUUAGGUUUAGGUUUAGGUUUAGGUUUAGAGGUUUAGAGAUUAGGUUUAGGGUUUUGAGGGUUUAGGUUUAUGGGUUAGGGUUUAGGGUUUAGGUGUUUUAGGGUUAGGGUUUGUUUAGGGUUUAGUUUUAGGGUUUAGGGUUUACAGGUUUAGGUUUAGCCAGGUUUAAGGUUUAGUUUAGGGUUUAAGGGUUUAGGGUUUAGGUUUACGAGUUAGGGUUUAGGUUUAGGUCUAUAGAGGUUUAGGGUUUAGGGUUUAUGUUUUAGGUUUAGUAGUUUAGGUUUAGAGGUUUAGGGUUGGGUUUUAGGUUUAGGUUUAGGGUUCUAGGGAUUUAGGGUUUAGGCGGUUUAGCGCGUAUAUAAGGUUUUCACGCAUUUAGGUGUUGGUGGUUUAGGGUUUUAGUGGUUGUUAGGUUUAGGUUUAGGGUUUAGGGUUUAGGUUUUAGGGUUUGUAGGGUUUAGCGGUUUAGGGUUUUAGGGUUUUUAGGUUUUUAGGUUUUAGGGUUUAGAUUGUUCAGGGUUUUUAGGUUUUAGGGUUAGGUUUAUAGUUUAGGGUUUAGGUUUAGGGUUCAGGGUUUUAGUGGUUUUAGGGUUAGAUUGGUUUAGUGGUUUAGGGUUUUAGGGGUUCGUAGGGUUUAGCGGGUUUAUGGGGUUUAGGGUUUUUAGGUUUUAGGGUUUAGGUUUAGGGUUUAGGUUUAGGAUUUAGUGUUUGUAGAGGUUUUAGGCGUUUUAGUGGUUUAGGGUUUAGCGGUUUAGGGUUUAGGGUUGGUAGUGGUUAGGUUUAGAGGUUUAGGGUUAUAGGGUUUUUAGCGGUUGUGGGUUGUAGCGGUUUAGGGCGGUCUUUAGGGUAUUACGGGUUCUUAGGGCUUUAGGGUUUAGAGUUAGGGUUUAGGGUUUGGGUUUAGGGGAUUUAGUUUUAGGGUUUUAGGGUUUAGGUUUAGGUUGUUUAGGGUUUAGGGUUUAGGGUUAGGUUUAGGAGUUUUAGGGUUUAUGUGUUUAGGGUUUAGGGUUUAGGUUAGUGAUUUAGGGUUUAGGGCUUUAGGGUUUUAGGUGUUUUAGUGUUUAGGUUUGGGUUGUGUAGCGGUUUAGGGUAGUGGUUUUAGAAGGUUUAGGGCUUUAGGUUUAGGGUUUAGGGUUUUAGGGAUUUAGCGGUUUAUGGAUUUUAGGUUGGGUAGUGAUUUAGGUAUAGGGUUUAGGUUUUAGGGUUUAGGUUUAGGGUUUAGGUUUAGUGUUUAGGGUUUGAGGGGUUUAGGGGUUAGGAGUGGUUUUAGCGGUUUAGGGUUUAGGGUUUAGGGGGUUUAGGGUUUAGGGGUUUAGUUUUAGGUUUAGUUUUAGUGGUUAGGGUUAGGGUUUUAGGUUUUAGGGUAUUUAGGUUUUAGGGUUUUAGGGUUUAGGUUUUAGGUUUUAGGGUUUAGGUUUAGGGUUUAGGGGUUUACGUUGGGGUUUUUAGUAGGUUUAGGUUUCGGGUUUUAGUAGGUUUAGGGUUUAGUUCAGGAGGUUUAGGGUUUAGUAGGUUUAGAGUUUAUGGGUUUUCAGGGUUUAGGGUUUAGGGUUUAGGGUUAGGGUAGGGUUUAGCGGUUUAUGGGUUUUUAGGGUUUAGGUUCUUAUUUAGUUUAGGGUUUAGGGUUUAGGGUUUAGGUUUAGGUUAGGGUUUAGUGUUUAGUUUUAGGUUUCAGGGUAGGGUUAGGGUUUAAGGGUUUUAGGGUUUAGGGUUUAGGUUUAUUAGGUUAUAGGGUUAGGGUUUUAGGGUUUAGGGUUUAGGGUUUAGGGUUUAUGUGGUUAGGGUUAUAGGGUUUAGGGUUUAGCGGUUUAGGGUUUAGGCGUUUUAGGGGUUUAGGUUUAGGGUUUGAGGGUUUAGGGUUUAGGGUUUAGGGUUUAGUGGUUUAGGGUUUUAGAGCGUUAGGUUUUAGGGGUUUAGGGGUUUGAGGGUUUUAGGGUUUAGUGUUAGGGUUUAGGGUUUUAGGGUAUUAGGUUUAGGGUUUAGGUUUAGGGUCAGAAAACCUAUUUAGGUUUAGGGUUAUAGGGUUUAGGUGUUACGAGGGUUUAGGGUUCUAGAGGUUAGCGGUAGUUAGGGUUUAGCGGGGUUUAGGGUUUAGCUGGUUUAGGGUUUAGCGGUUUAGGGUUGUAGUGGUUUAGGGUUUAGAGGUUUAGGGUUUAGGUUUAGCGGUUUAGGUUUUAGCUUUUAGGGUUUAGAGGUUUAGGGUUUAGGAUUUAGGUUUAGGUUAGGGUUUAGAGGUUGUAUGGUUUAGUCGUGUUAUAGGGUUUUAGGUUUAGGCGGUUUAGGUUUAAGGGUUUAGGGUUUAGGUUUAGUUUAGGGUAGGUUAGUGUUUAGGGUUUAGGGUUUAGGGUUUAGGGUUUAGCGGUUUAGGUUCUCUCAGGGUUUAGUGGUUUGUGGGGUUAGGUUUAGGGUUUAGGGUUUAGGGUUUUAGGUUUUAGUCCGGUUCUUAGGGUUCUAGGUUUCUAGGGUUCUCAGAGGUUUAGUGGUUUAGGGGUUUAGGUUUAGGUUAGCGUUUUAGGGUUUUAGGUUUAGAGUUUAGGGGUUUUAGGGUUAGCGGGUUUAGCGGUUCUUAGUAGGUUUUAGGGUUUAGGGUUUAGGUUAGGGUUUUAUGGGUUUUAGUGGUUUAGGGGUUAUAGGGGUAUAGGGUUUUAGGGUUUAGGGAUUUAGCGGUUUAGGUUAUUAGGUUUUAGGUUUAGGGUUUAGGGUUUAGGCUUUAGGGGUUUAGGAUUUAGGGGUUUAGUGGUUUAGGGUUUAGGUGGUUUAGGGUUUAGGGUUUAGUUUAGGGUUCUAGGGUUGUAAGCGGUUUAGCGGUUUAGGGUUUAGGGUUUACAGGUGGUUUGAGGUUUUAGGGGUUUAUUGUUGUUUCAGGUGUAGGGUUUAGAGUUUAGCCGGUUUAGGGUUUUAGGGGUUUAGAGGUUCAGUUGGGUUUAAGGAGGUUUAGGGUUUAGGGUUUGGGGUUCUUUAGGUUUUACGGGUAUUAGGGUUUAGGUUUAGGGUUUAGUUAGGGGUUUAGUGGUUUUUAGGUUUAGGGUUUAAGUUAGGAUUUAGGUUUAGGGUUUAGUUGGUUAUAGGUUUUAGGGUUAGGUUUAGGGAUUUAGGGUUUGAGGGUUAGGGUUUAGGGUUAGGUUGAGUGGUUUAGGGUUUAGGGAGGUUUAGUGGUUUACGCGGUUUAGAGUUUAGGUUUAUGCGGUUUUAGAGUUUAGGGUUUAGGGUUUUAGGUUUUAUGUGGGAUUGUAGCGUUAGGGUUUAGGGUUGAUGGAUUUGUAGGGGUUUAGCGUUUAGGGGUUUAGGGUUUAAGGUUAGGGUUUAGGUUUAGAGGUUUAGACUACCUAGUAGGGUUUAGGUUUAUGUGGUUUAGGGUAUAUAGGGUUUAGGGUUUAGGUUUAGUUGGUUUAGAGGUUUAGAGGUUUUAGUGGUUUAGGCGUUAGGGCUUUAGGUUUAUGGGGUUUUUUUAAGGGUUUAGGGUUUAGUUUAGUGGUUUUAGGGUUUAGGUUUAGUGGUUUAGAGGGAUUUAGGGUUUUAGUUUAGGUGUCUGUAGGGUUUAGGGUUUAGGUUUAGGGUUUAGAGUUUUAGGUUUAGGUUUAGGGUUUAGGGGUUUAGGGUUAUGGGUUUAGGGUUUAGGGUUUUGUGAGAGUUUAGGGUUGGUUAGGUUUAGGGUAUGAGGUUUAGGGUUUAGAGGUUUUUAGUGGUUUAAGGUUUACUGGUUAUAAGGGUUUAGGGGUUUUAGGAGGUUUUUAGGGUUUAGGUUUAGCGGUUUAGGGUUUUCAGGGUUUAGGGUUUCUAGGAUGUUAGCGGUUAGGGUUUAGGGUUUAGCGGUUCUAGAGCGUUUCAGGUCUUUAGUGUCUAGGGUUUUAAGAGGGUUUAGGGUUUAGGUUUAGGGAUAGGGUGUUUAGGUGGUGGUUAGUGGUUUAGGUUUAGCGGUUUAGGGUAUUAGGGUUUAGGUGUUAGUUAUUAGAGUUAGGAGUUUUUAGAGCGGUUUAGGGUUUAGGGUGUUAGGGUUUAGUAGUUUUAGGUUUAGGGUUUUUAGGGUUUAGGUUUAGUUUAGGUUAGGGUUUAGUUAGGGUUUAGGUUUAGGGUUUAUGGUUUUAGGGGUUAGUGGUUUAGGGUUUAUUUAGGGGUUUUAGAGGUUAGGGUUUAGUCGGUUUAGGUUAAGGGUUUAGUCGGUUUAGGUUUAGGGUUUAGGGUUUAGGUUUUAGGGUUUAGGGUAUUAGGGUUUUCAGAGUUAGCGGUUUAGGGUUUAGGUUUGGGUUUUUUGGUUGUAGGCGUUUAGGGUCUUAGGGUUUCAGGGUUUAGGUUUAGGGUUAGGCGUUUAGUGGUUUUAAGGUUUAGGGUAUAUAUAGAGGUUUUAAGUGUUUAGGGUUUUAGGUUUAAGGUUUAGGGUUUAGUUUAGGGUUUAGAGGUUUAGGUUUAGGCGGUUUUGGUGGUUUAGUGUUUAGGUUUAAGGUUCUAGGGUAUUAGGGGUUUUAGGGUUUAGGGUUCAGGUUUAGGGUAUUAGGGUUGGGGUAGUGGGCGUUUAGGGUUUAGGUGUGUAGGAUUUAGUUUAGGGUUUGUGUAGGUUUGGCGGGUUUAGAGGUUUAGUUUAGGGUUUAGGUUUAGGGUUAGGGAGUUUAGGGUUAAUAGGUUAGUGGUAGGGUUUAGAGGGGGUAUUUUUUUGUAGGUUUUAAGGGUUAUGUCGGUUUAGACCGUGUUGAGACUUUGAGAGCGUUUAGGGUUUAGUGGUUUAGGGUUUAGGUCUUUAGGGGUUUUAGUUGUUUAUGGGUUUAGGGGUUUGAGGUUUUAGGUUUCUUAGGGUUUAGCUGGCUUUAGCGGUUUAGGUUAUAGGUUUAGCUGUUAUUUAGGGUUUAUGGUUUUAGGGUUUAGGUUUAGGGUUUAGUAUUAGGUUUACGUGGUUUUAGGGUAUUAGGGUUUACAGAUUUUUAGGGUUUAGGGUUAGACGGUCUCUUAGAAGUUUAGGGUUUUAGGGUUUAGGGUUUAAUGGUUUAGGGUAGUGGGUUUUAGGGUUUAGGUUUAGGGUUUCGUGUUUUAGGUUAGGGUUUAGGGUUUAGGGAUUUAGGGUUUUAGGUUUACGGGUUAGAGGUUUAGAGUUUAGGUUAGGGUUUAGCCGGUUUAGCGGUUUAGACGUUAGGGUUUAGGGUUGUAGGGUUAGGGGUUAGGGUUUAGGGUUUAGGGUUUAGGGUUCUAGG